GGAGGGACUGAGUGGGUCCCCAAGACCUCAGGAGGCAGAGGGUGACCGCACAUUUCCAGGGACAGAGGAUUAAACACAGAAGCUCCGCUCACCCCGAGCCCCCUCCCCAAAGAAGAGUUGGUCACCAUGUUUGUACGUUGUAUUAUGUUAUGUUGUUUUUUGAGAUGGAGUCUCGCUCUGCGGCCCAGGCUGGAGUGCAGUGGCUCGAUCUGGGGUCACUACGACCUCAGCCUCUGGGGUUCAAGCGAUUCUCCUGCCUCAGCCUCCCGAAUAUCUAGAAUUACAGGCACCCACCACCGCACGUGGUUAUUUUUUUGUAUUUUAGUAGAGACGGGGUUUCACCACGUUGGCCAGGCCGGUCUUGAACUCCUGACCUCCUGAUCCACCCACCUCGGCCUCCCAAAGUGCUGGGAUCACAGGCCUGGGCCGUCGCACCCAGGCCCCUGUUUCACCUUUUUAUGUUAAUCAUUUUGCCAUUCCUGGCCGGGCAUGGAGGUUCAUGUCUGCAAUCCCAGCACUGUGGGAGGCCGAGGAGGGCGGAUCGCCUGAGGUCAGGAGUUCGAGACCAGCCUCUUCAAUAUGGUGAAAGUCACCUCGACUAAAAAUAAAAAAAAUAAAAUAAAAAAAAUUUACCAGGCCGGGCGUGGUGGGUGACACCUGUGACCCCAGCACUUUGGGAGGCCGAGGCGGGUGGAUCACCUCAGCUCAGGAGUUCGAGACCGGCCCCGACCGACACGGCGAAACCCCGUCUCUGUUAAAAAGACAAAACUCAGCCAGGCGUGGUGGCGGGUGCCCGUGAUCCCGGCUACUCGGGAGGCUGAGGCGGAAAUGCUUGAACCCGGAGGGCGGAGGUUGCAAUGAGCCGAGAUGGCGCCAUUGCACUCCAGCCCGGGUGACAAGAGCGAAACUCUGUCUCAAAAAAAAAAAAAAAAAGAAAAGAAAAAAGAAAAAAGCAGCCUGGUGCCCACAGGUGCUGGACGUCACGGAGCAGCUGGACGCCGGCGUGCGGUACCUAGACCUGCGGAUUGCCCACAUGCUGGACGGCUCGGAGAAGAACCUGCAUUUCGUUCAUAUGGUCUACACCACGGCCCUCGUGGAGGACACGCUCACGGAGAUCUCAGAGUGGCUCGAGCGACAUCCUCGCGAGGUGGUCAUCCUGGCCUGCAGAAACUUCGAGGGGCUGAGCGAGGACCUGCACGAGUACCUCAUCUCCUGCAUCAACACCAUCUUCGGGGAGAUGCUGUGUCCCCGCGGGGUGAGCGACGAGGGAGGACGACGGCCACGGGCCUGUCCCUGGGCUGGGGGAUCGUCACCGUCACCCUGCAUUUGGUUACCUGGUUCCCCCCCCCGGGGUGUGGCCGCAGCCGUGAUCCCUGCGGCAGGUGGAGUUUUGAACGACAGCAGCUCCCCCCGGACGCGGGGGCUGACAUCUGUGAUCCCAGCACUUCGGGAGGCCGGCGCGGGCGGAUCGCAAGGUCAGGAGAUCGAGACCAGCCUGCUCAAUACAGUGAAACCCCGUCUGUACUAAAAAUACAAAAAAACUAGCCGGGCGUGGUGGUGCGCGCCUGUAAUCCCAGCUACUGGGGAGGCUGAGGCAGGGGAAUCGCUUGAACCCGGGAGGCGGAGGUUACGGUGACCUGAGAUUUGUGCCAUCGCAUCCCAGCCUGAGCGACGGAGUGACACUCCAAAAAAAUAAAGGAAAAAUUAGGCCGGGCGCGGUGGGUCA
rnacentral:lncRNA from 13 species